GAUGAACGCUGGCGGCGUGCCUAAUACAUGCAAGUCGAGCGAACAGACGAGGAGCUUGCUCCUCUGACGUUAGCGGCGGACGGGUGAGUAACACGUGGAUAACCUACCUAUAAGACUGGGAUAACUUCGGGAAACCGGAGCUAAUACCGGAUAAUAUAUUGAACCGCAUGGUUCAAUAGUGAAAGACGGUUUUGCUGUCACUUAUAGAUGGAUCCGCGCCGCAUUAGCUAGUUGGUAAGGUAACGGCUUACCAAGGCAACGAUGCGUAGCCGACCUGAGAGGGUGAUCGGCCACACUGGAACUGAGACACGGUCCAGACUCCUAAGGGAGGCAGCAGUAGGGAAUCUUCCGCAAUGGGCGAAAGCCUGACGGAGCAACGCCGCGUGAGUGAUGAAGGUCUUCGGAUCGUAAAACUCUGUUAUUAGGGAAGAACAAAUGUGUAAGUAACUAUUCACGUCUUGACGGUACCUAAUCAGAAAGCCACGGCUAACUACGUG
rnacentral:rRNA from 1 species